UACGUAGGGUCCGAGCGUUGUCCGGAAUUACUGGGCGUAAAGAGCUCGUAGGCGGUGUGUCGCGUCGGCCGUGAAAACCUGCAGCUUAACUGUGGGCUUGCGGUCGAUACGGGCAGGCUAGAGUUCGGUAGGGGAGACUGGAAUUCCUGGUGUAGCGGUGAAAUGCGCAGAUAUCAGGAGGAACACCGAUGGCGAAGGCAGGGUCUCUGGGCCACUACUGACGCUGAGAAGCGAAAGCAUGGGGAGCGAACAGG
rnacentral:rRNA from 1 species